rnacentral:rRNA from 1 species
GACGGAGGAUGCAAGUGUUAUCCGGAAUCACUGGGCGUAAAGCGCACGUAGGCGGGCUCUUAAGUCGGUGGUGAAAUCCUGGAGCUCAACUCCAGAACUGCCUCCGAUACUGAGAGUCUUCGAGUCCGGGAGAGGUGAGUGGAACUGCGAGUGUAGAGGUGAAAUUCGUAGAUAUUCGCAAGAACACCAGUGGCGAAGGCGGCUCACUGGCCCGGUACUGACGCUGAGGUGCGAAAGCGUGGGGAGCAAACAGG